rnacentral:lncRNA from 1 species
UUCAGCUAUCAUUUUGCAGUUUUGUGAGUGUGUCUGAAGGAGAAAUCUCUAGAAGCAGACUCACUGAAUCAAUUGUGUUUCUGACAGGUGUUUCCAAAUCGCCGAAAUGCAUAUGUAGCAUUUGCCGCCUGUGCCCAGCUCACAUUCCGAGGACCUCUCAGUGUGUUUCUGUGACUUCCAACGGUCAGUAUCUGCAUCCUUGUGCCUGAGGGUCCACCCUCCCCAUUGCUGAUUGCAGAAGGUUUUCUGUGGGAUUGUGGCGGUCAUGAGGACAGAAAAUUACCCAACACACACACACACACACACACACAACCGUCAUCCAUGACUCUUCAGCUCCCCAUCCCUCCAGUGGGAUAAUUCUGAGGUUUGUAUGUUGUAUUAUCUUCCAGAGUUUUCCCACAAGGUAGCAGGUUUAAUAAUGCACCUUUCGGUAGCUGCCUUACUUUUUCUAUGUCUCUUCCCUACUUCCCUUUCCAGUGUCCUCUACCAGUGGCCCAAUUUGAGGUGCCUUCCUUGCAUUCUUUUUGUUUGGAAUUACAAUCCGGCAAAAGUGAGAACCUUCACUGUGAGAGUCCAUUUGAGACCUUACCUGUCAAAUCACUGUGGCCAAGUUUCAUCUCUUCGUAAAGAUUCUACAUGAAGGGAUGGCAUGGAGGAAUGGCUACAAAAUAGAAACCACUGACGUCCCCAUCUCUUCUCCCUGCCAAUGUUUCAUCAGCGCUGAUAAAGCCGUUGGGAAAAUACCUCCUUGACUCUUCUGCCAUCUACUGACUUGGAGAAGUGCUUAUGCAGCAGUGGAACAUAAACCACUACUGGGACAGAGCAGGACCCGGAUGCUGAGCUCUGGAGUAGAAGACAAAAGACCAAAGCUAUUAUUGCAUUGGGGGCUGGGAGUGGAGAGUUGGAUUUACAAGUGAUUUUUUUUAGUUUGUUAAAAACAAAGUUGUUCCAUUAUCUUUACAAUGAGAAUAUAUAUUUUUAAAGCCAGAUAGGUUGGCUUCUUAGCUAUGGUUAUUUGUUCUGGUGUAAAGAGGUUCAUAUUUAAUACACCCCAUUGCAUCCUACAUAAUGUGACGAUAAUAUCCACUGUCAAGAAAGAAUGUGUGAACUUAUUCAUCUAAUAUAUAUAUUUAAAUCAAUCAAAGAAGAAACCUAUCUCUAACCAAGUAGUAACUGAGUUCUCUCGCAAUGUGAAAAAAUAACUAACUAAAAUGUGGGCUUUAAACACAGUUGAGGUCUAAAAGCUCUCUCCUUUGGAUAAGUAAAAAAAUCAGGCAGCUUGGUUCUCUGAGCCGUCUGGCGUGGCAGAUGCUGGGAACACGCACUACAAUCAGGGUCAAGCGGGCAGUAUUUUCUAUAGAGAGCACACUCUGCAGUCCACUUUGUACUCUAGAAAUCCCAAGCAAAGCUGCUUCUCUGAGCUCCUUCCAUUGGAAAGAGACCACUCCACAUGCCAUUACUG